UUACGGCCAUAUCACAUUGAAACAGCGGUUCUCAAACGAUCAUCGAAGUUAAGCAACGUUGAGCUUGAUCAGCACCUAGAUGGGUGACCGUCUGGGAAUACAA